CUAACAGCCAGGAACUGCAUUCCACAAAUUUGCUCCUCUCCCAUCCUGUUAAGACACAUGCUCCAUAGACGGAUUUGCUGGGUCUAGGGCUAAAUAUUUGACAGAGCCCGACAAGAGCAAUAGUGUUUACAAUCGUAUUUGGAGUCCAAUAAGUUAUUUCUGCAUUGUCAUGUCUUAUCUGGUCUAAUAGCUGAUUUUUGAAGCUUAUCUUCGAAUUCAUUGUUAAAUUAAACUUCCCGUAAGACCAGCAGGCGAAAUAGGACUAUAUUAGCGGGGAAAAAAGAUUAAAAAAAAUAAACCAGCAACAAAGUUUUUACAAACCAUUUCUCAGUGUGGUAAUUCCAUUUUAAGGUGGCUCACUACAGUUUGUUCUUUUUAAAUGGAAAAUUUACCACUAUUAUCUACUUGUUAGACUACCAGCCGACUCUCUGAAAGGUGUACUCAGAUGGCAUUUUCUGUUACAAGCUGGCAUAUGUUGGCAACUCUGAUUUUGGCUUUAUAGCCGAAAAUGUGAGAAUUUUAAAAUUUUGCCUAUUAUAAGUGCUAUGUUGACUAAAAAUGCAACAUUUCAAGUUUACUUUUCGUAAAAAAUAAGCUAUAUACCAUUAGAACGUUCGCAAUAUAUGUGUAUAUAAGACAUUUAAGCAAG